CAAAGAUUAAGCCAUGCAUGUGAUGGCAGGAUC
rnacentral:rRNA from 2 species